rnacentral:ncRNA from 1 species
CCCGCCGAAUUUAAGCAUAUAAUUCAGCGGAGGAAAAGAAAUCAAAUGAGAUUCCCUGAGUAACGGCGAGUGAAAAGGGAUGAGUCCGGCGCAAGGUUUUCCAUUGAAAGGUGGAAAGCGGUGCUGCGUAAUGGCUAGAGUCACGAUUAUUUCAACUAAAUCUGCAAGUCCCUCUGACAAGGGCCCUCUUCCCAGAGACGGUUCUAGGCCGGUGGCAGAUCUUGGUUAAUGGAAUAUCGAUUACUGGCUUUAGUCGCGGAUAGAGUCAGAUUGCUUGAGAGUGCAAUCCAAAUUAGGAGGUAAACUCCUCCUAAGACUAAAUACGAUGGUAAUAUCGAUAGCAAACAAGUACCGUGAGGGAAAGUUGCAAAGUACUUUGAAGAGAGAGUUCAAAAGGACGUGAAACCGCUUGUAGAGAAACGGAUAGAACCACGAAGUGUAGCUGAGAGGAGAACUCAGCUUCUCUUGUGUAUUGUUGCCUUUUUCUAUUCAGUGCUAAGAAUGCUUUACAGCGUUCCAAGAUCAGUAGGUUAAGGGGUAACUUUUAGCCUGCCCUUGGAUCUUGGUAUUGAUAGGAGGAGUGCAAUAUGUGCAUGAGGAGUGCAUUUUCUCAACUCUCGUGCUCAAACCACGACCAAUGUGAAGGAGAGUGCAAAACUCUUGUUCAAGUGAUAACAGCAAGGUGUACUAAACACACACCUAAUCAGCAUUUAGUUUUCACAGCUACUAAUAUUCCUUGCGUUAUUAGACUUAGCCUGUGAGCUAGUGUUGGCAACUGUUACCACAGUCACAUUGGAGAUGAAUCUCUGCUUAUGCAGGGUCAACAAUGCUUGUCAUCUGCUCUGACGAAUCCGACUAGUCUUUCGUUGAUGAUGUCUGUUUCUUCACCUGGUGUUGAAACAACUCAUGGAUUGGCUGGCUUUUGGUGGUUUGUUGGUAAAAGUGGCAAGCUUACGUUAACCUAGUGAUUCUGUGGUCAGUAGAUCGGUACUCUAUCCGACCCGUCUUGAAACACGGACCAAGGAGUCUAACAUGUAUGCAAGCUGAUCAGUCUUGUUUAGGCUUGAAAGGCGAAUUGAAAGAAAUUGAUAUGAUGUAUGCUUGUAAGAGUAUACCGCAAUAUCAGCCCGUGAUAUAUCCACUUUACCGAGAUUUUCGCGGAGCACUAGUAUAUAUGUUAGUACCCGAAAGAUGGUGAACUAAGCCCGGACAAGCUGAAGCCAGAGGAAACUCUGGUGGAGGUCUGUAGCGAUUCUGACGUGCAAAUCGAUCGUCAGAUCCGGGUUUAGGGGCGAAAGACUAAUCGAACCGUCUAGUAGCUGGUUCUUCCGAAGUUUCCCUCAGGAUAGCUGGCACCAAUGGAAGUACCAGUAGCAUCCGGUAGAGCGAAUGAUUAGAGGUCUUGGGGCCGAAAUGGCCUCAACCUAUUCUCAAACUCCUAAUGGGUGCGAAGUUCAACUUGUUAAACUUUUAAAGCUGAACAUACUUUGUAUGAUGGUGCCCAGUGGGCCAUUUUUGGUAAGCAGAACUGGCGCUGUGGGAUGAACCAAACGUUAGGUUAAGGUGCCCGAUGCUGACGCUAAUGAGAUCCCAUGAAAGGUGUUGGUUGCUAAAGACAGCAGGACGGUGGCCAUGGAAGUUGGAAUCCGCUAAGGAGUGUGUAACAACUCACCUGCCGAAGCAACUAGCCCUGAAAAUGGAUGGCGCUCAAGCGUUGAACCUAUACCUAACCGUUAAGGCAAUCAUAUAUAUUAUUUAUCAUGAUAUAAGCUUUAACGAGUAGGAAGAAUGUAGUGAUAGCGUCGAAGGUGUCUGACGUAAGUCAGCCUGGAGCUUUCACUAUUACAGAUCUUGGUGGUAGUAGCAAAUACUCAAGUGAGACCCUUGAGGACCAAUGUGGAGAAGGGUUCCAUGUGAACAGUAGUUGAACAUGGGUCAGUCGGUCCUAAGCGAUGGGGAGAAAUCCCUAACCAAAGUCCCAGAUACAAUUAUCAAGUUGACUGUGGUGUUUCGCGAAAGGGAAUCGGGUUAAUAUUCCCGAACCUGGCGUGGGAGAUUGCUUCUUCGGAAGUAAAUGCGGUAACGCAAACUAACAUGGAGAUGUUUCCAAAAGUCCUGGGAAGAGUUGUCUUUUCUUUGUAAGGUACCAAGUCCCUGGAAUCGGUUUAACCGGAGAUAGGGAUUCCGGUACCGUAAAGCACCGCGGCUCUUGCGGUGUCCAGUGCACUUUUGGAAACCCUUGAAAAUCUAUGUUAGAGAUUAUAACUUUCCCGCCAGACCGUACCCAUAUCCGCAGCAGGUCUCCAAGGUGAACAGCCUCUGGUC